AACAGACGAGGAGCUUGCUCCUCUGACGUUAGCGGCGGACGGGUGAGUAACACGUGGAUAACCUACCUAUAAGACUGGGAUAACUUCGGGAAACCGGAGCUAAUACCGGAUAAUAUAUUGAACCGCAUGGUUCAAUAGUGAAAGACGGUUUUGCUGUCACUUAUAGAUGGAUCCGCGCCGCAUUAGCUAGUUGGUAAGGUAACGGCUUACCAAGGCAACGAUGCGUAGCCGACCUGAGAGGGUGAUCGGCCACACUGGAACUGAGACACGGUCCAGACUCCUACGGGAGGCAGCAGUAGGGAAUCUUCCGCAAUGGGCGAAAGCCUGACGGAGCAACGCCGCGUGAGUGAUGAAGGUCUUCGGAUCGUAAAACUCUGUUAUUAGGGAAGAAUAAAUGUGUAAGUAACUAUGCACGUCUUGACGGUACCUAAUCAGAAAGCCACGGCUAACUACGUGCCAGCAGCCGCGGUAAUACGUAGGUGGCAAGCGUUAUCCGGAAUUAUUGGGCGUAAAGCGCGCGUAGGCGGUUUUUUAAGUCUGAUGUGAAAGCCCACGGCUCAACCGUGGAGGGUCAUUGGAAACUGGAAAACUUGAGUGCAGAAGAGGAAAGUGGAAUUCCAUGUGUAGCGGUGAAAUGCGCAGAGAUAUGGAGGAACACCAGUGGCGAAGGCGACUUUCUGGUCUGUAACUGACGCUGAUGUGCGAAAGCGUGGGGAUCAAACAGGAUUAG
rnacentral:rRNA from 1 species